GCUGGGUGUGCCCUCUCCGCCACUAGCCGCUAGGGUGUUUGCGCACACAGUCUUGGUUUCACCUCCUGCGGUUUUUCCUCUGACAAACUGUGAAGUAAUGACCCGGCCAGCCCGCGCCUAACAUUUAGUCAGCUGGUCCUCAAUGAACCAUAUUCACUGCAGAGGUAGCCAGGAAGAGACCAAGUUUAGAAAUGAAGGAAUUAAAAGUAGACCUUGGGCUUCCCUGGUGGCGCAGUGGUUGAGAGUCUGCCUGCCGAUUCAGGUGACACCGGUUCGUGCCCCGGUCCGGGAAGAUCCCACUUGCCGCGGAGCGGCUGGGCCCGUGAGCCAUGGCCGCGGAGCCUGCGCGUCCAGAGCCUGUGCUCAGCAACGGGAGAGGCCACAACGGUAUCAUCAAGCUUACAGUGAAGACAGAAUACAAAAAGAAAAAAAAAAAGGAAAAUGCCACCCCAAAACUUCAAAUCUUCUCUGCCAUGACAGUUUUGAAAUGAUAGAAAUUAUUUUCAGUGAAGCAGCUUUGCCAGUCACUGUUUCAGAAACCCCCCAAAUAGAGAUUCUAGUCUAUGAAGUGCAACCAUAGGCUUGAAUUAUUAUCAUUCCCGAUGAUAAAAUUCUUAUCCCUGGGUUUUACAGUUUUUGCAGUAAAAAUUGUCAGAGGUAUUACUGCAGCA